rnacentral:lncRNA from 1 species
AAUUUAUCAGUGAUUUUUUUUUUUAAAUUAUCUUUUUUUUUCUUUUUUCUCAAACCUUUUUUGAAACAAUCGUGAUCGAACAUAUUAGUGUAACCUAAAGCCAGUUGGCGUUCCAUCUAUAUGUAGAAAAGCUAAAUCAAUUGUCAAACAAAUUAUCGCCAAAAACUGCAUUCAUGUUAUCAGUAAUAAUGAUUAAUUGUGCCAUUAAU